rnacentral:rRNA from 1 species
UGGCGUACGGGUGAGUAACACGUGGGUGAUCUACCCUUUAGUGGGGAAUAACGCUGGGAAAUCGGCGCUAAUACCGCAUAAGCUCGAGAGAGGAAAGCAGCAAUGCGCUGAAGGAGGAGCCCGCGGCCGAUUAGCUAGUUGGUAGGGUAAGAGCCUACCAAGGCAUAGAUCGGUAGCCGGCCUGAGAGGGCACACGGCCACACUGGCACUGAAACACGGGCCAG